UUUCCGAGUUGCUAACUGGUUAUAGUUAUACACGUGCCCGCGUCAACGAAUAACAAGUUGGAAAUGUACGAGUUUCCUAGUUCCGAUUAGUAUUUGAACGCGGCAUCAGUCUAUGCGUGACGCUAACAAGUUUUCACCUUUCUCGAAAUGCAUAGUACGACCAUACUUCAGUGGUGACGACCUUAUUUUAAACAAACCGACAACCCGAUAUAGAGGAACAUGGCGGACUGGGAGAUCUGUGGACUGGGAGAUCUGUGGACUGGGAGAUCUGUGGACUGGGAGAUCUGUGGACUGGGAGAUCUGUGGACUGGGAGAUCUGUGGACUGGGAGAUCUGUGGACUGGGAGAUCUGUGGACUGGGAGAUCUGUGGACUGGGAGAUCUGUGGACUGGGAGAUCUGUGGACUGGGAGAUCUGUGGACUGGGAGAUCUGUGGACUGGGAGAUCUGUGGACUGGGAGAUCUGUGGACUGGGAGAUCUGUGGACUGGGAGAUCUGUGGACUGGGAGAUCUGUGGACUGGGAGAUCUGUGGACUGGGAGAUCUGUGGACUGGGAGAUCUGUGGCUAAAUCAAGUGCGACCUACUGCGCUGACCAAUUUGAUAGCUCACCUUGCCUACAGCUUCCCCGGCCACAGAAAAGUUUGUAGCCUACGUGAGAUUUUCAUAACUUUUAAAACCAUGACCAGAGAGACACUGUCAAAGAAUAUAGCAAAGAGCUGCUGUUGAUAAGAGUGUGUAUGUUUUAAUUUGAUUUUCACCGCUGUCACUGUUUUUAUUCAACAUUAUUACAAAACAUAAAACGUCCUUCUCUCGCGCUGCAGGUGCAAUGAAUGAGUAGACAAGUGUAACGAUAGCCCUUUUUAUUAUUAUUUUAAUGUGGAGGAAUAUAUCACUUUCUCUGGUCAACAACAUGAAUUUAUGCAUGCAUAUUGGUUAUGCGUUACGACUCGAGAUACACCAUCAGGUGGAAGACUGUCCCCUCUCUCUGGUCAGUCUCACCAGAGGAAAGGAAGGAGAGAGCAGGGACCAUGAGAGAUGGACCCUCUGCUGCUCUCUUGCUCCCUCCCUCCACUGAGAAUAAGGCCAUGUUCAAAACAACUGAACUCUUUACUCUGAAAUCUCAGACUUCCCGAAUUCAGUGCGUUCAAGACAAC
ensembl:lncRNA